rnacentral:lncRNA from 10 species
UCCAUUCUCAUUUCAACCUCUGGGCUUUGCAUGUCAGAGCAUGCGACCCUGAGGAACCAGUGUCUGAGCAAAGACAAGGUUAUUACUGCCACAUGAAAAUGAUGUAACCUGGACAUCAGGCUCUGGGGAACAGAAGGCAAGUCAGAUGGGUCAAUAGAUGGUGACAAAACACGGAGGUCAAUAGGUUGAAGAUCCUGAUAAACUGGAGAGCUAUGAGCCUGGGCAUGUAAGAAGCUUGGAAAUCAUCACUCAUGUAUUUACAAGAAGAAAAAAACUGAACAAACUGAAAAUCAUUGGCUCUCCAUCAACACUCAGAGGACUGAAGCUGCAUGGCAAUUUGACACCCUGAAAUCUGGAGAGACAGAUGGAUACAGAGAGUCACAGCCAAGAUCUCACCAGGAGCAGAUGCCUCUGGAGCCACAAACUGUGCUAUAAAGACAUACCAGAGAGGGUAAUUUAUAAAGAAAAGAGGUUUAAUUGACUCGCAGUUCUGCAUGGCUGGGGAGGCCCCAGGAAACUUACAAUCAUGGCAGAAGGGGAAGAGGCACCUCUUACAUGGCAACAGGUGAGAGAGAGAAGUGCAUGAAGGAGGAAAAGCCCCACACUUAUCAAACAAACAGAUCUCAUGAGAACUCACUCACUAUCAUGAGAACAUCAUGGGGGCAACUGCCCCCAGGAUCCAAUCACCUCCCACCAGGUUUCGCCCACAACUCAUGGGGAUUAUGGGGAUUACAAUUCAAGAUGAG